UGUUCUGCCCCAUUUCGAAAUUUUCUACAGCUCCUCUCCCAAUUAAAAAUUUUCCCCUGUUCGAGCACGCGCCAAAUAUAUGUUAGUGUGUGUUCAGCUAUGCCAGCGUCCUCCUCCAUAUUCUCUCUAACCACCGACGAAAGCUCCAUCGCCACCGAGAAGUUGUUCUUUAUUCACUUUUUACAUAUUGACAAUACAUUUAUAGCCCAGUUUUCUCUUUCGAGGCGAGGAUAAGAGUCAGAGGUUUUGAGAGUGGAAGGAGAGAGAGAAAUUUCAAGCAAGCUCAAAUACAAAGUCCUUUUAAUUGGUCUGAGAAGAAAGAUUAUUCAAACAGAGAAGAAGUUUGAAAGAAUGUUGAAUUAUCAUCAAUAUCAAGAAAGGAAACUGAGCCACAACAUAUCCAACUACGUUUUGUGUGGCCCUAAAGGAGGAGAGAAGCUAGUUUCAGAUGGGGAAUUGUUGGGGUUCUAUAGCUGAUUACCCAACUCCAAGCACCAUUGCCUAUCUCAAUUCAAGUAAAUACCUAAUAGGAAAAAAAAAAAAAUGUGCUUCUUGUAUGUUUACCCCUUCCAUCAAAUUCUCAAAUAUCUCAUAUGCGUUGGUUCUUUUUGUCCCAUACAUUUUGAUUUUAAAGAAAACUCAUUGUUAUGUUAGCCAGUUGCAACAAGCCAAUCAGAUCUUUCAGGCAAAUGAUUUACAUGAGAAACCCAGUGAAAUUUCCUAACUUGAUAUGCCUGAGGUGAUAUGACUUUUUGUUGCAUUUUACCGCAUGGAACCAUGCUAUUUUGCCUCUGUACUUCAUUAUUAACAUAUGCUGCGAAUUUGUUAUUGCAACUAUAUUACAGUUUCUAGCAGUGCAUAAAGAGAAGCCUUAAGAUCUGUAAAGUUAACUGAAAAAAUUGCAAUGUUAUGAUUCACUACCAUGUUAUUACAGUUUGGUCUCAAUGUUUAACUGCAGUAAAGAUUACAGUAAAGCCUUAGUAUGGAUUCACUUGUUAGUUAACAUUGCAGUUAAAAAUUGCCUAAAGAGAAGCCUCCAAGUAUAUUACAGUUUCUAGCAGUGAGUUCUUUCUUCUUUGGUAUAUCCCUCUUCAACUUUACUCUUUCUUUUAUCAAUUCAAGAUCAGAAAAUACAAGAUUUUCUCUCUUUAUUUCUUUUCUUUCUUCUUUCUUGCAAGAUUAGCAAAAUAUUCUCACUUUUAUCUAUUCUUUCUUCUUUCUCUUUCAACUCUGUUAAGACAUUUGCUUUCCAGUUCAAGGCAUUUUCCCACUGGUUUAGCAUUAUUCCAACUUUUUUCUAGUGUGUUCAAAUGAUUUCCAGCAUAGUUCUGAUGAAAUGCCCAUGUCAAUGCAUUCUUGCGCGUUUUCGCCGCCUCUCUACUUAGUUUUGUAGGUAACUCCACUACCAUUUUCCCUUCCAUAUUAGUGAGUACUGCUUGUGUACUGAGAGAGGUGAAGGGAGGGCACGAAAGUUUGAAGUUUCUCUUUCAUAAUUGAUUUCUUUCUAAAUUUGUUUAUUCUUUAGUAUGAAGUUUUGUUUAGAUAUUGCUACUUUUUCUUAUGUAAAUGAAAGGAAAAAGUAAUCAGAUUUUUUUUUUCCCUGAAAAUACUUCAUAGAACUCGAAAAGUAAAUUUCUUUUGAGAUGCGAAGACGUUUGGAUAGUUAACAAGAGAGAGGAUGUUUCUAAGCACGGAUAAAGAUGGGAGUUCAGUUGUUGGUGGCUAUUUACAUUAACUUUGAGGCUAGGAAAGAAAUAAUGAUGGAGAUAAAAAAUGGGAUUGGACAACACUUUGGACACUUGCACUAAAGAUUUAUGAAAAUAGUUGCAGCUAAAUAGUGGCCGUGGUAGUUGGUUUUGUCUUUGUUGUUGUAUUUGUUUACACUUAAGUUAGAGAAGUACAAUACUUUGUUGCUGUUUUAGUUUGGAAAGUGAACUGGUGUAUUUCCUUUCAUUCAUGUAUGUUGAAUUAUUCAGGUUAAUGAGUCUUUGUAAAGUAGGAAGUCUGUUAUGUGCUCCAGCCGUUGUAUUUUGGAUUUUAAUGAAAUGAGGUGAUGCUUGGACAAUACAUCCUUUAAUCCCAAACCAUCAUGUUGGUUGUCCUGCA